rnacentral:rRNA from 1 species
AAUAGAUACCCGGGUAGUCCACGCCGUAAACGAUGAGUGCUAAGUGUUAGGGGGUUUCCGCCCCUUAGUGCUGCAGCUAACGCAUUAAGCACUCCGCCUGGGGAGUACGGUCGCAAGACUGAAACUCAAAGGAAUUGACGGGGGCCCGCACAAGCGGUGGAGCAUGUGGUUUAAUUCGAAGCAACGCGAAGAACCUUACCAGGUCUUGACAUCCCGUUGACCACUGUAGAGAUAUAGUUUCCCCUUCGGGGGCAACGGUGACAGGUGGUGCAUGGUUGUCGUCAGCUCGUGUCGUGAGAUGUUGGGUUAAGUCCCGCAACGAGCGCAACCCUUGAUCUUAGUUGCCAUCAUUUAGUUGGGCACUCUAAGGUGACUGCCGGUGACAAACCGGAGGAAGGUGGGGAUGACGUCAAAUCAUCAUGCCCCUUAUGACCUGGGCUACACACGUGCUACAAUGGACGAUACAAACGGGUUGCCAACUCGCGAGAGGGGAGCUAACUCCGAAUAAAGUUCGUUCUCUACGGUUACGGUAUUUGGUAGGUCUGACUAACCGUCGCCUAA